CAGAAGUUAAGCUCCUUAGCGUCGAUGGUAGUCGAACUUACGUUCCGCUAGAGUAGAACGUUGCCAGGC
rnacentral:rRNA from 1 species